rnacentral:rRNA from 1 species
UACGUAGGGUGCGAGCGUUGUCCGGAAUUAUUGGGCGUAAAGAGCUCGUAGGCGGUGUGUCGCGUCGGUCGUGAAAACUUGGGGCUUAACCCUGAGCUUGCGGUCGAUACGGGCAUCACUUGAGUUCGGCAGGGGAGACCGGAACUCCUGGUGUAGCGGUGAAAUGCGCAGAUAUCAGGAAGAACACCGGUGGCGAAGGCGGGUCUCUGGGCCGAUACUGACGCUGAGGAGCGAAAGCGUGGGGAGCGAACAGG